rnacentral:rRNA from 1 species
AUUGAACGCUGGCGGCAGGCCUAACACAUGCAAGUCGAGCGGAUGAAGGGAGCUUGCUCCUGGAUUCAGCGGAGGACGGGUGAGUAAUGCCUAGGAAUCUGCCUGGUAGUGGGGGAUAACGUCCGGAAACGGGCGCUAAUACCGCAUACGUCCUGAGGGAGAAAGUGGGGGAUCUUCGGACCUCACGCUAUCAGAUGAGCCUAGGUCGGAUUAGCUAGUUGGUGGGGUAAAGGCCUACCAAGGCGACGAUCCGUAACUGGUCUGAGAGGAUGAUCAGUCACACUGGAACUGAGACACGGUCCAGACUCCGACGGGAGGCAGCAGUGGGGAAUAUUGGACGAUGGGCGAGAGCCUGAUCCAGCCAUGCCGCGUGUGUGAAGAAGGUCUUCGGAUUGUAAAGCACUUUAAGUUGGGAGGAAGGGCAGUAAGUUAAUACCUUGCUGUUUUGACGUUACCAACAGAAUAAGCACCGGCUAACUUCGUG